CAGGGAAUCUUGCACAAUGGGCGAAAGCCUGAUGCAGCGACGCCGCGUGGGGGAUGAAGGCCUUAGGGUCGUAAACCCCUUUCAGCAGGGACGAAAAUGACGGUACCUGCAGAAGAAGCCCCGGCCAACUACGUGCCAGCAGCCGCGGUAAGACGUAGGGGGCGAGCGUUGUCCGGAUUUAUUGGGCGUAAAGAGCUCGUAGGCGGUUGCGUAAGUCGGAUGUGAAAACUCAGGGCUCAACCCUGAGACGCCAUCCGAUACUGCGCUGACUUGAAUCCAGUAGGGGAGUGUGGAAUUCCUGGUGUAGCGGUGAAAUGCGCAGAUAUCAGGAGGAACACCCAUGGCGAAGGCAGCACUCUGGGCUGGUAUUGACGCUGAGGAGCGAAAGCAUGGGUAGCGAACAGGAUUAGAUACCCGCGUAGUCCCUGAGCGGGC
rnacentral:rRNA from 1 species